UUGAACGCUGGCGGCAUGCUUUACCCCUGCAAGUCGAACGGUAACAGGCCGCAAGGUGCUGACGAGUGGCGAACGGGUGAGUAAUGCAUCGGAACGUGCCCAGUCGUGGGGGAUAACUACUCGAAAGAGUAGCUAAUACCGCAUACGAUCUAUGGAUGAAAGCGGGGGACCGUAAGGCCUCGCGCGAUUGGAGCGGCCGAUGUCAGAUUAGGUAGUUGGUGGGGUAAAGGCUCACCAAGCCAACGAUCUGUAGCUGGUCUGAGAGGACGACCAGCCACACUGGGACUGAGACACGGCCCAGACUCCUACGGGAGGCAGCAGUGGGGAAUUUUGGACAAUGGGCGCAAGCCUGAUCCAGCAAUGCCGCGUGCAGGAAGAAGGCCUUCGGGUUGUAAACUGCUUUUGUACGGAACGAAACGGCUCUGGUUAAUACCCGGGGCUAAUGACGGUACUGUAAGAAUAAGCACCGGCUAACUACGUG
rnacentral:rRNA from 1 species